GACGAACGCUGGCGGCGUGCUUAACACAUGCAAGUCGAACGCUGAAGCUCAGCUUUUGUUGGGUGGAUGAGUGGCGAACGGGUGAGUAACACGUGAGUAACCUGCCUCCUUCUUUGGGAUAACGCCCGGAAACGGGUGCUAAUACUGGAUAUUCACUGGUCUUCGCAUGGGGGUUGGUGGAAAGGGUUUUUCUGGUGGGGGAUGGGCUCGCGGCCUAUCAGCUUGUUGGUGGGGUGAUGGCCUACCAAGGCUUUGACGGGUAGCCGGCCUGAGAGGGUGACCGGGCACAUUGGGACUGAGAUACGGCCUAGACUCCUACGGGAGGCAGCAGUGGGGAAUAUUGCACAAAGGGCGCAAGCCUGAGGCAGCGACGCCGCGUGAGGGAUGGAGGCCUUCGGGUUGUGAACCUCUUUCGCUCAUGGUCAAGCCGCAACAAUGGUUGUGGUGAGGGUAGUGGGUAAAGAAGCGCCGGCUAACUACGUG
rnacentral:rRNA from 1 species